UACGUAGGUGGCAAGCGUUGUCCGGAAUUAUUGGGCGUAAAGCGCGCGCAGGCGGUCCUUUAAGUCUGAUGUGAAAGCCCACGGCUCAACCGUGGAGGGUCAUUGGAAACUGGGGGGACUUGAGUGCAGGAGAGAAGAGUGGAAUUCCACGUGUAGCGGUGAAAUGCGGUAGGAAGAUGUGGAGGAACACCAGUGGCGGAAGGGCGACCUCGUUUGGACCGUCGAUAAUCUGACCGCUG
rnacentral:rRNA from 1 species